UGAGUAGGGCCCCAGGAUGACCCUGGGAUAGCUCUGGGAUGGCUCUGAGAUGAUCCUGUGAUCACCAUGGAUGGCCUAGGAUAACUGUGAGAUGACCAUGGGAUGGCUUUGGAGAUGACCUUGGGAUGACCCUGGGAUGACCCUGGGAUACCCUGGGAUGGCUCUGGGAUGGCUCUGGGAUGGCUGUGGGGAUGGCUCUAUGUGCUGCCGUGCUGGCCACAGCCUUUAAACCUUUGGCUUGGGAGAAGGGAACCAUGAUCUUCCCUGAAUUUUCCCAUCACACAUAACAUGCACAUUUACACACGAACUCGUGUACCCACUAUCAUACACACUCACAAACACGAAGAAACUCUGGAACCCCUCCCUGCUCCAAAUACCUGAACUCCUUCCUUCUCUGCAACAAGGGUCAGGCUGCUUAAUCAUCCAAAAUCCAAUGUCGAGAAGAUAUUGUGGAGCCAUGAUUUCAUAACGGAGGACGGUGGACCGACGGGGUCUGCUGCACACAAACGCGCUGCUCUCAGAUAGCGAAGGGCAGUGGUGCGGCCGCAUUGGAACCGCCGUAACACAAUAGCCUUCCAUCUACCCCAGCCCACGCUUAAAUGCUGUGACUUUUCUUUCUCACUUCGGGAGCAGAGCUGACCUCAUGGAACGGUCGGUCUGGUUCUGAGCUCAUGGGCUCUACUGUAUUCAAGGCUCUUCUCUACACUGAUGACCCUUUUUCCUACUCCUGUUUUCCAGAGCCCUUACACCUAGCACUCCACGGUCGUGGGUUCCACAGUUGUCUGGUCCUUUUUUUUUUUCUCCUGCCUCUUUUCUGUUGAGAUGGCGCCGCAAGAUGCUAUUCAUCUCUGAUUCACCACUCAGAUUCAUUUCUACAAGCAGACAAAGAGUUCCGGGUGCUGUGCUGGACCAGGGUCCUGCGUGGCACCUCAUAGCGACAGCCGUAGACAUCUGAGCCAUUGUGUUCACGUGUUCUUUCAGACUUAGGGAUUAAAUUCAAGGUUUUGAGCAUGCAGACAAGUACCUUACCUGCCAAGCUGUCCCCUAAGCCAGAAGCUGGGGCAGCAACUGCUCCCCACACGCUGCCUUAGGAUCCCUCCUACAGAAUCACUAAGUAGCAGUUUCGCCUGUUGAAUUUGGAUGAAUCCACACGUGGACUUCCCUGGAACCUGGCCCGUAGGUGGCAGUCUUCCUUCAUCCUUCCUGGUUCCGGGAUCACCGCCCUCAGGAGGAUUGCAGGUGACACGUGAGUCUUUAGUGAAUCCUGAUGUUAACCGUUUCCUCUCCCUGGCGUUCUGCUUAUGAGUGGGGGCGGGGCACAGAGACUCUACGUAGAACAACUCACAAAAGAGACGCCACCUUCAGAGCCAGAAGCUGCUGCUCCCCACAUGCUGCCCUGGGAAUCCCUCUUGCAGAAUCACUAAGUAGCAGACAGUGUCUCAUUAUAAACAGUAAGGUAGAUAAAGCCAACCUGUUGGUAAAAAGUCGUUCACGUUGGUGCAAGCCUUUGUACCCUGUUUGAUCUCCCCUUCCUUCCUUGCCAACAUAUCCCCACAGAAUUUGCAGUGGGCCGCUCUCUCCUAAAUAAGGCCCUGCCCUCACCCGGCACCUACUCAACACGAUUCAGACAGACCCAGCAGAGGUGAGGACUGCCCACACACAUCCAUCCUCCCUCUGCUGCGGGAGUUCUGGAUGGGAUGGCCAAAGGAAACUGAGAUUUAAAAAGGCAGUCAGCGGCUGCCUUUCCUCCCACCUAUUGUCUGGCAUUGGGAAGGGAGUGCAGGUGGGCGCCAACCUCCUGGCCCUUUGGGGCUGUUUCUGAGCCACCAGCAUUGCAUGUCUGGCCCCAAUUGUUAGUGGAGCCAAAGGGAGAUUAAAUCAUUCGUGAGCAUCGAAAUGCCUGAGGAGUGCUAGUCUGAGAAUGCUUCCUCAGUGUUUCUAAAAACCAACUCAGCAAAACAGGAACUCAGGUCUUUCACCUGAGUUAGAAAGCAGAAUGCUUGCAGAAUCCUACCGGCACCCAGAAAGGACGCUGGCGAAGGGGAAGAUGCCCUGGUCUGCUUCAAUGUGCUGAUUUGGCCAUUAAGGCCCCAGUUAGAUCUUGGUCCCAAUUGCCCAGGCUUGGAGUGUCGCUCUGACUUUGGGACAAAGCAGAUGUGUGACACUGUGCUAAGUGUCCUAGGAAGCAUCCUGGAAUUACAGGUGGCCAGUGACCAGCCUGCUCCAAAGAAACCCAAGGGAGUGAGGAAUUGGAACACAGACUAAGAGAAAGCAAAUCCUUACCGGGCCCCAUCCUCGCCCCUGCCUAAGGAAUUCUGGUGGGAACCUGUUUCAAGCAGCUGUCUCCUAAAAUGGUCCUCAGACGCUGGCUGAUUGGGGUUCUUCUUGAGGACUCUCUUACUUCCUGUUCUCUCUGUUUGGCCACUUUGGGCUCACUGGGUGCCUUGUGCUUCUGAGAGAUCUGUGCCUCAGGGAGCCGGUCCCCACUGACCGGAUGGCGCAGUCUGUCGGUCUGUCCCACUGGUGGCUUGAGGCCAGUGAGGCAGGCCAACCAUCCUAAGUGGCUGCAGGAAAGUCACCUACAAGAGAGCUGAGAUUGUCUUACUUUCAGCCCUGCCUAUGCCCAAGGGAGAGAGCUGGUCACUUCACAGCUCACAAAGGCCCGUGUUUCCGUGGCCCUGAUGAUGUCGGAGGGAUUCUUCCCAAGGCACCAACACCUAAAACACCGGUGGCAAGGUACCAGGGCUGGAUGGCAAGGUAGUUAAAAACAGGGUCAGAAUGGCAUGGGCUCUAGUCGUUUGACUUAGGUCGGUCUGCUCGGGACAUGAUCAGGCCCAUGGUCCUGGGCACACGUCCGUUUGGUCCUCACCUGUGUGUCUCCAGCACGCUACUCGCACACAGGAUUCAGUAAAUUAACAGGGUAACAGUGCACAGUGAAGAGAUGCUGGUCAACAGACGGCUGAUAAGGGCAACAGAGGCUCCGAGGAAAGUCUUCUCCCCCUUCAAACAAUGUUCAAGCUUACGUAGCUCAAAGCCAUGAGACGUCAUCUAAAAAUAAAUAAAUAAAUAGGGAAGGAAAGAAGGAAGGAAGGAAGGAAGGAAGGAAAGAAGGAAGAAACAAAGAAACAAAGAAACAAAGAAAGAAACAAAGAAAGAGGGAGGGAAGGAGGGAAUCCAGCCUCAAAGGAGAAAUAACCUCUAAUGUUCCAUAGUUGGGAAGCUAUGACUGACAGUCGUUAAGCAUCUAAAUAGCUAGCAGAGGGUGAGCUAAGCAGUUAAACUUGCUCAGCAGCCAAGGAUGCUUACUCAUUCUUCUUGCAGAGGACCUGAAUUCAAUUCCCAGUUCUCACACUGAGAGGGAUCACGCACACAUAUAUGCAACUCCAGUUCUAGUGGAUCUAAUAUGUUCUUCCAGCCUCUGGGAGCACACACACACGCAUGUGUACCUGCACACAAACACAUGGAGAGACAUAUAAUUUGAAAUAAAUCUUUAAAAAGGUGCUUGCUGUCUGGCUUAGGGGUACAUGUGUUCAAGAGGCAGAGGCAGGCGGCUCUCCAAAAGUUUGAGGCCAACCUGAUUUACAUAACGAGUUCCAGGCAAGCAGGGCUUACACAUUUGAGACCCCGUCUCAAGAUAAAUAAAUACAGAAAAGUAAAAGCAAGCAAAGAGGGGUUUGGACGACUCUGGUACUAUGAGAUUCUGUUUUCAAGCAAUGAAUGUGUGAGAUUCCCUGACCUGGUCACUACACAUCGUAAAAUGUAUGGAAAUGUCAUACUCUUAAGUAUGCAUCCUUAUUAAAUGUCAAGGAAAGCUUCUAAAGUCUAUCCCAUCGGCAACUGGAUUCUUUGGAUCCUUUAGGUAUGCUAGGGGAGUCACUGUCUUUCCAACAUCAGGAGAGUGGCUGGCAGAGCGGAAAGCUGAAAGGACACGCAGCCUUUAUGGCACAGUUGAACCUCUGAGUUAGCCAACCCUGAAAUCACUGUACCUUUGGACUUGGCCGUCUCCAUAGGUAGGGAUAAGGAAGAAGAGGAAUCUCCUGCAUUUGUAGUGAGACAUGAGCCUUGGAGGUGGACUUGGGCUCAGUCACCCAUGGUGGGGUCAACACUGCUGCUGACCAGAAGGCAGCUGGAUUGUCAAACUGGACCGUGGAGUGAUAAAUCACAGUGGCAUUGGCUUGUUUCCCUGUUUGUCUUCUUGUAUCUUUGCCAUUUUGAAGUCCUCUUCUGUGAUGUGCAGUUAAAGCCUGUGGACUUCUUUUCAACAUUGAGAUACCUGUAAUCCUCUUACCAACCUGUGGAGAGUAUUUA